rnacentral:tRNA from 1 species
GCCGGAGUGGCGGAAUGGCAGACGCAGUCGACUCAAAAUCGACCGGGAAACCGUGGGGGUUCGAGUCCCUUCUCCGGCA